CGUGGUCAGGAGGCUUUCCGCGGAAAAAGCGCGCCGUGACGCAGAGUAUCUAUGUGCAGCACCUGGCCGGCCAACGCUGACCGGUGGGCUUCUUUGUUCAUCAGCUGAGACAUAUGCAAGAGGAAGAGGAGGGGAAGAGAGGGACAGAUGGAUUCCUGAGGAGGGGAUUCAGGUAAAAUGGCUAAAAAGGGGGGAAACAUGGGCGUUGAUUGAUCCAGAUCAUCAAGUCAACUACAUCAUUUAAAAUAGAUCCUGUCGCAGAGUUGGAUGCUAUGUACUCGGCAGUCCAACGGUUCAUGGAGUUCAUAAGGUCAUGUGUUCAGCAAAGAAGAAAAAUGAAGAGGAAAGUGAGGAUGUGUGUUUUCCUUUGUGGGAUGGCCUGUGCGCUACUGACUCCGCCUUAUCUGGGCUUCCCUGGAGCAAUAACUUUAAAACUAUGGUUCAGGGUCAGUGAAAAGGUCCUUUGGGCCACAGCAGAUGAAAAACAAACACAUCAACAGACAAGCCAUCCUUUUCACUUCGGCGAGGGUCUGGCUAUGAUCACCACUGCAGUAAUUAUAAUUACUGUGCGCCACUGCAGAAGCAGCAUGCUAACAAGGAACUCCAGGAUCAUCACUCCUCGCCAGUCCGUUGCCCCUGAUGGAAUCCAUUGCCGCAAGUGGUCGCCUGAAGCUGUCUCAGCUGAAGAACCUUCCUCCUGACUUCACUCCUUGGUUACACCUCGAGCCUCUGCCGUUUCCUCUCUCCCCCCGGAACCUCCGCCGACGACAACUCACUCUGUAAGCCUGCGAAGGGAUCCACCAGUGAUGCCACCGAAGACUACCUUCCGUAUUCUGGAAGCCACGUAUCCUGCUCUCCCUCCAUUGCAGACCUCCUUAUCAAAUCCUCUUACCUGCCACUCUCGUCCUCCUCUGUUUCUUCCGGGUUUCAGCGUUUGGGUCGAAAAGUGUUCUGUAGCCAUGACACCCUGUUUGUAGAUAUGAUUGAAGGGAUUUAGAUGUUUAUUCAAAAGGAAGCAGACACUCACAUUUAUCCACAAUAUGUCUUUUUUCUCCUUGAUUUUAACCCAUUUUUUUCUUCACUCACUGGGCUUUGAAGCAAGUUUAUAAAGAACAUUAUAAAUGUUUUUGUUGAACAAGCCAACAAAAUGAAGACUGGAAUUGUUCUUGCUAUACCACAAAACAGAAAAAUGUAUUUUUACAUGGACCUUUCCUCUGCAUAAAAACCAGGUUUAGAGCAUUGUAGUUUUGAAAGGCACUUUGUGUGGUCAACAAGAAUGAAGUUUAUUCUCCCUUUUUGCAUGGUUAAAAAGCACUUUUAUACUUUCUAGAUAGCCUCAUCCAAGAAGAAAGCUGCAACAACACAUCAGUAAUGGCUGGUUUUCAUAACCUCCUUGAAGAAGGCUGGACAGAAAUGAUCCACCACUUAUUAUUUAUUUAGUUUCUGCCUAGAGGGAGCUAACACGGACCAUUUCUUCACACCAGGAUGACGAAAACGAAACAAUGCCUAACAAACAUGAAAGAUAUGUACAAAGGAAAUAUUUGACGGGUGAGAAAAAAAUUCCACAGUGCUUGGGAUGACUUCACAAAGCACAGCGAGGCCAUUCUGAAAAGUCAGUGCUCCACCAAGUGUAAACACAUUUUUAAUAAAAUAUUUAUACAUUUUAUGCAAGUUCAUAAAAUAUUGACUUAGAGGAGACCUAUUAAGCAUUUUGUGUUUUUCAGUCAAAUAUUUUGUGUAAUGUAUUUAUUAUGAACAUGGUUUAAAGGAAUAAAGCAGAAUAAAAUCAGGCCUUUUUGGAUUUUCAAGAUAUUUGUAAAGACAAGAAUACCUUGUCUUUACGAAGAAUACCUUAAAGGUAUUCUUGUUUAUAUACAUUUGACCAAAAAACAAGAAUAUUUUUAAGGGACAUUUGUGUUUUUUGACAAAGCUAAAUGCUGUGGUCAAAAAAAGGCUCAUAAAUUAAGUAAAAAUAUUUACCAUUUUUUACUUACUUCACUUCUUUGAACUGAAAAACUGCUCCUCCACAGCCAGUGGCUACAUAUUUUCUUUUAUAACACAAAUGUCCUACAAAAUAAAUUCCCCCUAUAGUUUGUGUUUAUGUGCACAUACUGUAGAUGAUGCCAUAUGAAGGUAAGCCAAUUGAAAGACAGUCACACAUUGAUAAGUCGAAAGAAAUUAAAACACACUGGGGGGGAAAGUGAAAAGAUAAAAAAAAGAUUGGCUCAUGGUUAAGAUGACUUUUUUUAAAGUAACACAGUAUUAAUGCUGAUAGAAGUUAUAUUGUAUUAACACCAGAUUGCUUUAACAGCAUGAUAUGGCUUUAUUAUUAGUUGUUUCCUAGGAGCAGUCAGGGUCACUCUAUCAUCCCAGAAAGAAAAUUAAAGCCAGUCCAAGGAAAUAUUAUUGAGCAAAAGUAAAAGCCUUUGCGUAUUGAUUAUGUAUUAAAUCCCCGGUAAAACCCCUCAAAUGGCAACAAAAUCAUUAACUAACGGUAAUCUUUAACGUUUUCUCUGCCUCCAACAACAGUGAAACCACAAACCCGUCCAUACAUUUAGAACAUUCCAGAGCAGCAUAGUAGUUUUUGGCUUCCCCUCAGCCAUCAGCUACACACAAAAGCCUCCAAAUUAGUUUUGACAAAGCAAAUUGUUGUAGAGAACACAAAUUUGGCGCAUGAUUACACAUUUAUUAUCCAUUGCAUGUUUUGUGGGAAACAAACAGACUUCUGUCAUUUAAGAGAGCCAAAUAGUCAAUGGUGUGCUGUGAAAUUUGAGCAGCACUGGUUAAAUGCACAUUUCCCUUCUGCUAAGGUAUGUGUUUGUUGUGUUUCAACUAUACCCUAUAAUGGAAACCAGUUUCAAUGUCUAUAGGGAACAUGUAUCUAAUUAUCAAGAUUAUCUCCAACUGUCAAACAAGUAAUAUUAUUCUUAGUUUUUAAGUAACUACCAUACCUCUUUAAAAGGAUGUAAUUUAAUUUCCAGCAGGGCCCCAUUCCUCUGAGGAACACUCUGUUCGGAGCGGAUUCACCACAAUCCCACCUCUGCACGAAGAGAUAGACCAUUUUCCCAACCCUAAAUGCUACAUGGGAAGCCCAGGGCCCCCAGACAUGAAACUUUUACUAUGUCCCAAACCCUCCGAUUAAUGCAGACUAUAUACAACAUAAAUAUUCUUGAGUGCAUUUUUUAAGCAGUCAGUUGGGAUUUGGCUGAAAGCUGUCAUGAUUUUCAUUAACCUUCAGGUUACUGUUGGGAUUCAACCAUAUCAUGAAAAUGAAGUAAGAACUUUAAACCCCUGCAUGGGACAAAAGAUAACUGUGCUUUUAAUUUCACAUUACAUGAGCUGGAUCAACACAAAACAGGGGUUUUAGAUUAUGUAAAACUUAAACUGAUAAAGAAAGAGGUUAAAAUGUCAUAUUUCUGGAGAAAAUCUAUUUUACUUCAUGAUUAUUGGUCAAUUGGACACCUCCCAGAGGACAGCUCCUGGGGUCUUUGAUUUGAUCAGCACUCAUGGUGAUUGCAGUCUGGCAGAGGUCCCACGAAAAUGUUUUCAGGACCAACUUCACGUUUGGUACAUGCUCAGGUUCUGUGGUUUUAGUGGAAUUAACACCUGGGCUGACACCUUUCUCUGGAGAAUUGAACAAACUGCAGUUAGUUAGUUGUUGUCUCAUCAGAUCCAUAGAAACUAAAUGCAGUUGUUUUCUUUUACAGCUCUUUUUCAAAAACAAUGUUGAUUUUAGCAGGACGGCUUUAGCACGCUCUAGUACAGUCAGAUUUUUCAAGACUUCAUUUAAUUUUAUUUAUUUCAUAUAGCAAAGUUGCUGAUUUACUUUACUCUUUACUUUAUCGUAAAAGCAUUCCUGAUGGUCUUUAAUUAUGGCCAUUGAAACCUUCCAGAAAGUUUUUGCUGCUGUACAGCAUUCACUUAUUCAGCUAAAAUUGGUUCUCAAUGCUGACAAGACAAAACUAAUGUUGUUUUCAAACUCAAAGAAGGUCCCUAAAACCAUUCCAAUGGUGUCCAACUUGGAUGGAAAUGUCAUAGAGUUGGUUCAUGAGUACAAGUACCUUGGUGUCUGGAUUGAUGACUCCCUCACCUUUAAACCUCACACAGAAAAACUUGUAAAAAAAAAAACAAAAAAAAACUCAAACUUAAACUUGGCUUUUUCUUCCUUAAUAAUUUGUGUUUUUCUUUUGAAGUACAAAAGAGUCUUGUUUUAAUUUUAAGUUACUGUAAAAUGUUGUGAAACAUCAAGACUUUACAUUUUUGUUUUUUCAUGCUGCUGGCCAUUAAAACAGUAAAAAA